rnacentral:rRNA from 1 species
AUUGAACGCUGGCGGCAGGCUUAACACAUGCAAGUCGAGCGGGGGAAGGUAGCUUGCUACCGGACCUAGCGGCGGACGGGUGAGUAAUGCUUAGGAAUCUGCCUAUUAGCGGGGGACAACAUCUCGAAAGGGAUGCUAAUACCGCAUACGUCCUACGGGAGAAAGCAGGGGAUCUUCGGACCGUGCGCUAAUAGAUGAGCCUAAGUCGGAUUAGCUAGUUGGUGGGGUAAAGGCCUACCAAGGCGACGAUCUGUAGCGGGUCUGAGAGGAUGAUCCGCCACACUGGGACGGGGACACGGCCCAGACUUCUACGGGAGGCAGCAGUGGGGAAUAUUGGACGAUGGGGGGAACCCUGAUCCAGCCAUGCCGCGUGUGUGAAGAAGGCCUUAUGGUUGUAAAGCACUUUAAGCGAGGAGGAGGCUACUCUAGUUAAUACCUAGAGAUAGUGGACGUUACUCGCAGAAUAAGCACCGGCUAACUCUGUGCCAGCCGCCGCCGUAA